GCCGGUGUGGCGGAAUGGCAGACGCAAGGGACUUAAAAUCCCUUGGCCAAUCACUGGCCGUGUGGGUUCGAGUCCCACCACCGGCA
rnacentral:tRNA from 3 species